UGNNAGUCGAACGGCAGCACGGGGGCAACCCUGGUGGCGAGUGGCGAACGGGUGAGUAACAUAUCGGAACGUGCCCUGGAGUGGGGGAUAACUAGUCGAAAGAUUAGCUAAUACCGCAUACGAUCUACGGAUGAAAGUGGGGGAUCGCAAGACCUCAUGCUCGUGGAGCGGCCGAUAUCUGAUUAGCUAGUUGGUGGGGUAAAGGCCUACCAAGGCAUCGAUCAGUAGCUGGUCUGAGAGGACGACCAGCCACACUGGGACUGAGACACGGCCCAGACUCCUACGGGAGGCAGCAGUGGGGAAUUUUGGACAAUGGGCGCAAGCCUGAUCCAGCAAUGCCGCGUGAGUGAAGAAGGCCUUCGGGUUGUAAAGCUCUUUUGUCAGGGAAGAAACGGUGGAGGUUAAUACCUUCUGCUAAUGACGGUACCUGAAGAAUAAGCACCGGCUAACUACGUGCCAGCAGCCGCGGUAAUACGUAGGGUGCAAGCGUUAAUCGGAAUUACUGGGCGUAAAGCGUGCGCAGGCGGUUGUGCAAGACAGAUGUGAAAUCCCCGGGCUCAACCUGGGAAUUGCAUUUGUGACUGUACGGCUAGAGUGUGUCAGAGGGGGGUAGAAUUCCACGUGUAGCAGUGAAAUGCGUAGAGAUGUGGAGGAAUACCGAUGGCGAAGGCAGCCCCCUGGGAUAACACUGACGCUCAUGCACGAAAGCGUGNNNGCAAACAGGAUUAGAUACCCUGGUAGUCCACGCCCUAAACGAUGUCUACUAGUUGUCGGGUCUUUAUUGACUUGGUAACGCAGCUAACGCGUGAAGUAGACCGCCUGGGGAGUACGGUCGCAAGAUUAAAACUCAAAGGAAUUGACGGGGACCCGCACAAGCGGUGGAUGAUGUGGNUUAAUUCGAUGCNACGCGAAAAACNUUACCUACCCUUGAC
rnacentral:rRNA from 1 species